CGGACUGUGGCGCAGCUCGGUCCAGCGCACUACCUUGGGGUGGUAGGGGUCGGGAGUUCAAAUCUCCCCAGUCCGA
rnacentral:tRNA from 1 species